GCAUUUCAUUGCAACCCCUUAGUAGAGCCAAUCACUCCAUGCCACACUAACAUAUAAAAGAAGCAACACAGCGGAUAUCAUAAACACCAGUUCACUAGUAAAACUAAAUAAGCAAGUAAAUGUAUGAAACAACCUGAAAAACUAAUUCUACUUCACGGGCUAAACACAAGUUCAUCAAAUUGUCUAGAGAAACAAUAUCUAAAACUCCAGAGAGACGGUAUCAGAACUUGUAGCAUUGAAUAGAACAGGAUCCAUCAGCAUCUAGUUACCUCUCAUUGCAUCAACCACCAAUCUGUAAUGCUCCGCAAUGAAAUCGAGGCGCUUCACCAUCAAGUCAGCUUCAUCAUCCUCCAGAAUCUUCCACUUCUCCUCCAACACUUUAGCCUUGUCGGUAGCAAUCAAACUCAUCUUCUCCUUCAACAAACUUGUUCCAUUAGGAUACAUUUUAGACAAGCCAGACAUAGCUUCAAGUGAUGCAGCCAAACGUGGAUACUUGGACUGGAAAUCCAGUUGAUCACCCUUAACUAUAUCCU
rnacentral:misc_RNA from 1 species